CUCUUAUAUGGGGGCAAGCCUGGAUGCCCGGGGUUAGGGGCUACAGACUUAAGGUCACUUUUCCAGAGGCAAGAUCUCGGGCUAAAGGGGCGGGAUCUCGCUUAGCUAUAUCUGGGUCCACUCUUUACCCAUAUAUACACAAGGUGAACUUUAGUAAGAAAUAACAACAAAGGCAGGAUCUCGCCGAAACUAGGCCAGCUUGGGUACCCUGGGGUUGGCUUGCAGUUGCACCAUAUAAACAGCCCCUAUAUAUAGGCAGUAUAUAUUUUUUCUGGUAAUUGGAGUCUUUGGAGAUUUUGUGUGUAAAUGACUAUAAAAAUGACCCUUUACGGGUGGGUGUUUCUGUCAACAUUUUGGAAAGCAAUAUUUUAUUAAAAAAUUAGAAUAAUCACAUAUUAAAUUCUGAUAGUAGUAUAUAUUGUAUUGUGUGAUUAAAGUAAGGUUAUUUUUUUGUUUACCCCACCUCUGCAUGCAAGGAUUUUUUGGCCACCCCACCUAAAGCAAGUAUUAUUUUUCAGUUACCCCACCAUUUUCUCUUCGGCCCCCAUCCCUGCCAUAAAUAAUGACCGGUCCCUAAGCCCACCACAUAUACUAACGCUCACUUC